rnacentral:rRNA from 1 species
UACAGAGGGUGCAAGCGUUGUUCGGAAUUAUUGGGCGUAAAGGGCGCGUAGGCGGUGCGGUAAGUCUGUAGUGAAAUCUCUGGGCUCAACUCAGAGUCUGCUGCAGAAACUGCCGUGCUUGAGUGUGGGAGAGGUGAGUGGAAUUCCUGGUGUAGCGGUGAAAUGCGUAGAUAUCAGGAGGAACACCUGUGGCGAAAGCGGCUCACUGGACCACAACUGACGCUGAUGCGCGAAAGCUAGGGGAGCAAACAGG